rnacentral:rRNA from 1 species
AGUGAACGCUGGCGGUAGGCCUAACACAUGCAAGUCGAACGGCAGCACAGUAAGAGCUUGCUCUUACGGGUGGCGAGUGGCGGACGGGUGAGGAAUACAUCGGAAUCUACUUUUUCGUGGGGGAUAACGUAGGGAAACUUACGCUAAUACCGCAUACGACCUACGGGUGAAAGCAGGGGAUCUUCGGACCUUGCGCGAUUGAAUGAGCCGAUGUCGGAUUAGCUAGUUGGCGGGGUAAAGGCCCACCAAGGCGGCGAUCCGUAGCUGGUCUGAGAGGAUGAUCAGCCACACUGGAACUGAGACACGGUCCAGACUCCUACGGGAGGCAGCAGUGGGGAAUAUUGGACAAUGGGCGCAAGCCUGAUCCAGCCAUACCGCGUGGGUGAAGAAGGCCUUCGGGUUGUAAAGCCCUUUUGUUGGGAAAGAAAUCCAGCCGGCUAAUACCUGGUUGGGAUGACGGUACCCAAAGAAUAAGCACCGGCUAACUUCGUG